rnacentral:rRNA from 1 species
GACGAACGCUGGCGGCGCGCCUAACACAUGCAAGUCGAGCGAGAACCAGGGCUUCGGCCCUGGGGAAAGCGGCGAACGGGUGAGUAACACGUGGGUAACCUGCCCUCGGCACCGGGAUAGCCCGAGGAAACUCGGAUUAAUACCGGACAGCCUCACGAGCCCUCGGGCGAAUGAGAAAAGGUGGCUUCGGCUUCCGGCUGAGGAUGGGCCCGCGUCCGAUUAGCUUGUUGGUGGGGUAAUGGCUCACCAAGGCUUCGAUCGGUAGCUGGUCUGAGAGGACGAUCAGCCACACUGGGACUGAGACACGGCCCAGACUCCUACGGGAGGCAGCAGUGGGGAAUCUUGCGCAAUGGGCGAAAGCCUGACGCAGCGACGCCGCGUGCGGGAAGAAGGCCU